GUUGAAACACUGGUUCCCGUACGAUCACUGUAGUUAAGCAACGUUGGUCUUGGUCAGUAUCUAGAUGUGUGACCGCUUGGGAAUACCAGGUGCUGUCAG